rnacentral:rRNA from 1 species
AUACGGGGGGGGCAAGCGUUGUUCGGAAUUACUGGGCGUAAAGGGCGCGCAGGCGGCCCGGCAAGUCCUACGUGAAAUCCCACAGCUCAACUGUGGAACUGCGUGGGAAACUGCCAGGCUUGAGUCCGGGAGAGGAGAGUGGAAUUCCCAGUGUAGCGGUGAAAUGCGUAGAUAUUGGGAGGAACACCGGUGGCGAAGGCGGCUCUCUGGACCGGUACUGACGCUGAGGCGCGAAAGCUAGGGGAGCAAACGGGAUUAGAUACCCCAGUAGUCC